rnacentral:rRNA from 1 species
UGAAGGGACCUCCAGUGGCGAAGGCGUCUCACCAGAACAGACCUGACGACGAAGGCACGAGAGCUAGGGUCACGAUCCGGAUUAGAUACCUCGUGUAGUCCUAGCCGUAAACGAUACUCGAUAGGUGUCGGGCACGGUGCGACCGUGGUGGGUACCGUAAGGGAAGCCGUGAAGCGAGCCACCUGGGAAGUACGGCCGCAUAGGAUGAAAACUUAAAGGAAUUGGCGGGGGGAGCACCACAACGGGUGGAGCUUGCGGUUUAAUUGGAUUCAGCGCCGGAAAUCUUACCGGGACCGACAGCAAUAUGAAGGCCAGGCUGAAGACUUUGCCAGAUUAGCUGAGAGGUGGUGCAUGGCCGUCGUCAGUUCGUACUGUGAAGCAUCCUGAUAAGUCAGGCAACGACCGAGACCCAGAGCCCACAGUUUCCAGCGUACUCUCAGGAUUGAGGGGUACUCUGUGGGGACCCCCGUUGGUAAAGCGGAGGAAGGAAUGGGCAACGGUAGGUCAGUAUGUCCGAAACCCCGGUCUACCCGCGAGUUACAAUGGUUGGUACAAUGGGCAUCCUCCCCGAGAGGGGACGGCUAUUUCCCCAAUCCAAUUUUAGUUUGGAUUGAGGGGCGCAAAUUGGCCUUCGUAAGGUGGAAUUCGUAGGUAUUCGGG